rnacentral:rRNA from 1 species
GGGGAGUCUUUCGGUAGCAAUACUGGAGGGCUCUUAGUGGCGCACGGGUGAGUAACACGUGAGGGACCUGCCCUGGGGUCCGGGAUACCCCUUCGAAAGGAGGGCUAAUACCGGGUGAGAUCGUCUGGCUGCGAGGCUGGGCGAGGAAAGGCCGUGGCAACACGGUCGCCGCAGGAGGGGCUCGCGGCCUAUCAGCUAGUUGGCGGGGUAACGGCCCACCAAGGCGAUGACGGGUAGCUGGUCUGAGAGGACGACCAGCCACACGGGGACUGAGACACGGCCCCGACUCCUACGGGAGGCAGCAGUGGGGAAUUUUCCGCAAUGGGCGCAAGCCUGACGGAGUGACGCCGCGUGGGGGACGAAGGCCUUCGGGUCGUAAACCCCUGUCAGAGGGAAAGAAGGGGCGGGGAGUGAACUCUCCGUUCUGACGGUACCUUCAGAGGAAGCCCCGGCCAACUCUGUGCCAGCAGCCGCGGUAAGACAGAGGGGGCAAGCGUUGCUCGGAAUCACUGGGCGUAAAGGGCGCGUAGGCGGGCGCUCAAGUCGGUCGUGAAAUCUCCGGGCUCAACCCGGCGGGGUCGGCCGAAACUGAGUGUCUUGAGGGAGGCAGAGGAGUCUGGAAUUCCCGGUGUAGCGGUGAAAUGUGUAGAGAUCGGGAGGAACACCGGUGGCGAAGGCGGGACUCUGGGCCUACCCUGACGCUGAGGCGCGAAGGCGUGGGGAGCAAACGGGAUUAGAUACCCCGGUAGUCCACGCGGUAAACGAUGACGACUA